CGUAGCUGGCCGCGCAAGUUCGUCGGGAAAUCCACUCGCUUAACGAGUGGGCGUCCGGCGAAAACUGUGCGGCUUGGGACCGGAAGAUCCAAGGGGUACGUCCGGGGUAGGAGUGAAAUCCCGUAAUCCUGGACGGACCACCGAUGGCGAAAGCACCUUGGAAGGACGGAUCCGACAGUGAGGGACGAAAGCUAGGGUCUCGAACCGGAUUAGAUACCCGGGUAGUCCUAGCCGUAAACGAUGCUCGCUAGGUGUGGCGCAGGCUACGAGCCUGCGCUGUGCCGUAGGGAAGCCGUGAAGCGAGCCGCCUGGGAAGUACGUCUGCAAGGAUGAAACUUAAAGGAAUUGGCGGGGGAGCACUACAACCGGAGGAGCCUGCGGUUUAAUUGGACUCAACGCCGGACAUCUCACCAGCUCCGACAGCAGUAAUGACGGUCAGGUUGAUGACCUUACCCGACGCCGCUGAGAGGAGGUGCAUGGCCGCCGUCAGCUCGUACCGUGAGGCGUCCUGUUAAGUCAGGCAACGAGCGAGACCCGCACCUCUAGUUGCCAGCAGCAUCUUGCGAUGGCUGGGUACACUAGGGGGACUGCCGUCGCUAAGACGGAGGAAGGAACGGGCAACGGUAGGUCAGUAUGCCCCGAAUGAGCUGGGCUACACGCGGGCUACAAUGGUCGAGACAGUGGGAUGCGACACCGAGAGGUGGAGCUAAUCUCCUAAACUCGAUCGUAGUUCGGAUUGCGGGCUGAAACCCGCCCGCAUGAAGCUGGAUUC
rnacentral:rRNA from 1 species